rnacentral:rRNA from 1 species
CGCCUCUUGUAUAACCAUAAUAAACAAAUAAGAGGUCCCGCCUGCCCAGUGACAACUGGUUCAACGGCCGCGGUAUUUUGACCGUGCGAAGGUAGCGUAAUCACUUGUCUUUUAAAUGAAGACCUGUAUGAAUGGCAUGACGAGGGCUUAACUGUCUCCUUUUUCAAGUCAAUGAAAUUGAUCUCCCCGUGCAGAAGCGGGGAUAAAAACAUAAGACGAGAAGACCCUAUGGAGCUUUAGACGCCAGGAUAGCUCAUGUUAAGACCCCCUAAAUAAAGGCCUGAACUUAGUGACCCCCUAUUCUAAUGUCUUCGGUUGGGGCGACCAUGAGGAACAAAAACCCCUCACGUGGAAUGGGAGUACCAAAGCCCACUAUUAUUUUUUCCUACACUCCUACAACUAAGAGCCACAGCUCAAUUUAACAGAAAUUCUGACCAACAAUGAUCCGGCAAUGCUGAUCAACGGACCAAGUUACCCUAGGGAUAACAGCGCAAUCCCCUUUUAGAGCCCAUAUCGACAAGGGGGUUUACGACCUCGAUGUUGGAUCAGGACAUCCUAAUGGUGCAGCCGCUAUUAAGGGUUCGUUUGUUCAACGAUUAAAGUCCU